rnacentral:rRNA from 1 species
GGGCCCGCACAAGCGGUGGAGCAUGUGGUUUAAUUCGAUGAUACGCGAGGAACCUUACCAGGGCUUAAAUGUAGGAUGCAUUAGCUAGAGAUAGCUAUUUCUUCGGACUUCUUACAAGGUGCUGCAUGGUUGUCGUCAGCUCGUGCCGUGAGGUGUCAGGUUAAGUCCUAUAACGAGCGCAACCCCUGUCGUUAGUUGCCAGCAUGUAAAGAUGGGGACUCUAACGAGACUGCCGGUGUAAACCGCGAGGAAGGUGGGGAUGACGUCAAAUCAUCACGGCCCUUACGUCCUGGCUACACACGUGCUACAAUGGUAUGGACAAUGAGCAGCCACUAUGCGAAUAGGAGCGAA